rnacentral:rRNA from 1 species
AUUGAACGCUGGCGGAAUGCUUUACACAUGCAAGUCGAACGGCAGCACGGACUUCGGUCUGGUGGCGAGUGGCGAACGGGUGAGUAAUGUAUCGGAACGUGCCCAGUCGUGGGGGAUAACGUAGUGAAAAGUACGCUAAUACCGCAUACGAUCUAUGGAUGAAAGCGGGGGAUCGCAAGACCUCGCGCGAUUGGAGCGGCCGAUAUCAGAUUAGGUAGUUGGUGGGAUAAAGGCCCACCAAGCCAACGAUCUGUAGCUGGUCUGAGAGGACGACCAGCCACACUGGAACUGAGACACGGUCCAGACUCCUACGGGAGGCAGCAGUGGGGAAUUUUGGACAAUGGGCGAAAGCCUGAUCCAGCCAUUCCGCGUGCAGGAUGAAGGCCCUCGGGUUGUAAACUGCUUUUGUACAGAACGAAAAGGUUUCUACUAAUACUAGGAGCUCAUGACGGUACUGUAAGAAUAAGCACCGGCUAACUACGUGCCAGCAGCCGCAGUAAAAC